UACGAAGGGGGCUAGCGUUGCUCGGAAUCAUUGGGCGUAAAGCGCACGUAGGCGGUCCAGCAAGUCGGGUGUGAAAGCCCUCGGCUUAACCGAGGAAGUGCAUUCGAAACUACAGGACUUGAAUACUGGAGAGGAUCGCGGAAUUCCCGGUGUAGAGGUGAAAUUCGUAGAUAUCGGGAGGAACACCAGUGGCGAAGGCGGCGAUCUGGACAGAUAUUGACGCUGAUGUGCGAAAGCGUGGGGAGCAAACAGG
rnacentral:rRNA from 1 species